UUUGGUGGCGAUAGCGAAGAGGUCACACCCGUUCCCAUACCGAACACGGAAGUUAAGCUCUCUAGCGCCGAUGGUAGUUGGGACCUUGUCCCUGU
rnacentral:rRNA from 1 species